GCAGUAUGCUCUUAGGUUCCCUGUUUGACCUCACUUAACUUUGCCAGCUUUGUGGGCUGCUGUACUGCUGCUCAGAGAACAAUUGGAAACUCCUGGAAUAGAUGCCUCAUGUCUCAUUGCCUUUGCCAGGCUUAGGACACUAGUGGGAGUGGGUUUGAUGGGACAUUAACAAAACCAGGGCUUCUUGUGAACCAUCUGAAUGCAGCACCAUGUUCCAGGACAGCUCUGUAUGAACUUCUCAUAUCCAGGAAAUGGAGCAAGAGGAAAGCCAAGCAGAAGGCAUCCAUUUCCAGCACCCUCAACACCUUUUCACAGGACGGGGCUAUUUCACAGGGAGAAUGGCGAUCAAGGAGAGACAAGACCAAGGCAGAAGGAAUCUGCCAUCCCUUCUUGUAAAAACAGAAGAAUGAAAUCAUUCUGGGGAAGGCACAUGUCUGCUGGGAAAACAUCAUUCCAAAAUUGCAACAUCACUAAUCAUAUGAAGAAUAUGAAUAAACUAGAUGAUAUGAAAUUUUAUAUCAGGAAGAUAAAUGCUGAGAGGUUAGAACUUUUUCGAAUCUUGGACAUUGACUUGAAUACUGAUUUGAACUACAGGAUGAACACUGAAUUCACCAUCAUUAAAUCACAACAUGAGAAGACAAUGUUGGAUAUGGAAAAAAUGACGCAGUCAAUAAGUGAUACCAUUGAGAAGUACAAGGAAUUCAUAGAAGAUAACGAUUCCUACAGCAUCAGGCACACCCACCUCCUGAAAGAAUGCAAUCAAUUGAAGAAAAAAGUAAGGAUGUUGCUGAAUGAGAACAGAAAGCUGCUGGUAGAGCAGGCUGACCAGGAGGCAUCCUUUGGUGAAGAAAAGAGUUCUGUGAUGAGACCAGCAAGAACAUACAUCCCAAGUGCAAAGCAGCAGCAGCCUUGCACAGACAUGCUGUCCACCAUGGGCAUGUGGCCUCUAUUUCAGGAUCUAUCCAUGCAGGAGAGUUUGAAGUUUCAUCCCAACACUGGAGUGUAUUGGGCCCGAGAAGCUCUGCUCUGAGAUAGCUGCCAUAGAGAAGAUCAGAUGACCUGGUUCCUAGAUAAUUCCGGAAGUGACAUCCUGAGCCACCUCUCCGUACCAUAGAGCUGAAAGGGGUUGCUGUCAGGGGUCCAGGAACUCCUCUGCCUAGAAGGAAAGCUAGCAGUGACCAACUGGGAGGGGGACAAGAGCAUGUGGCUGGAUUGGAAGUGGCCACGAAGGUCACAUCUGGCCUGGUGUCCUCACCUCCUGACACAGGGGUCUGAGAAUCUCCUGUGAUCCCUGCCAGCAUCCACGAGGCAGGCAAGAGAAAGAGUGCUUUGUGAAGGCCCUGCAGCAGAAGACAGACACAGAAGUGGAACUUCACGAAGAAGCUUGAUCCCAGGGCCCCUGGAGUUUGAGGACCAGUGGAUGGAGUGCCACGAUAAUCCAGAUGACCCAACAGGACCAGCCAAAAUUGGCAUUCUCAGAGCCCUCCUGGAUGCCGAGCAGAUCUUGAUGUAUCUCAGCACUUCUCUGAAGCCUUCCAAACAGGCAGUCUUGCUGGACCAGAGGCUAGACAAAAUAAAGGCCUCAUUACUCAUGCAGCCCAAGAUUGCCAUGGUUACAAGGAUUAGAUGCAAUGGUGGUUAAUUUGCUUUGCACACCCAGUGCUCCUGGUGAACUGUUGUGUCUGAGCAAGAUCUUGACCUGGUCUCUGAUCUGUUUGAGCUUCUGCAGAAUAUUUCAGUCCUACGGGAGGAAGAGAAAAAAAGCCUGGUGAGAUCUUUCCAUGUCCGCGAUCCAUCAAAUACCAGCUUUACUCAGCAGGACAAUCCAGUAUCACUUUUCAUCUGAGAUCUUUCCUGUAUCCCCAUAGGAGAAGGGGAAGAGAGCACCUGGGCCUGGAUGUUAUUCUCAACUGUAAAAAAUUGCUUGACAAUGGAUUGUGAACUACACACUGUGCUGGAGUUAAAGUAAAACACCACAUUUCUCCAAUAGUCUAAAUACUUGAUAUUGAAAAA